rnacentral:rRNA from 1 species
ACCUGCGGGAGGGAUCAUUCAUGUUUAUAAAACAGCUUUCUAGAGGGGGUUGCUAUGUGGGUGGUGCGCGCGCUUUCGGGCGAGUGUGCUUUUUCGCAUGCAAUUCUUUCUAGGAGGCUACAACCAUUCCGGUGACCAUUCUAUACCUUUUCCGCAAAAUGGUGCGCGAGCCUUUCGAGGUAAGCCACUGUUUUGUAUAUAAUAUUUUAUCUAAAACCCACCAUGAAAAACCACAACAGAAACGAAACCAAGAAAAUAAAACUCGUGACGGAGGAUAUCUUGGCUCCCACAUCGAUGAAGAACGCAGCGAAAUGCGAUACGUAUGUGAUUGCAGAACACGUGAGUCAUCGAAUCUUUGAACGCAAGUGGUGCUCGCGGGCAAUCCUGCGAGCAUGUCUGUUUGAGUGUCCGCACAAAUUACUCGCACCCUUUUGUUCUUUUUGCUUUGGAAUUUAUUCCGAGGUAGGAAGUGAGAAAGGGGGCGGCGAUUGGGUUUUUAAUCUGCUUCACUGCGGAAGACCCGGAAAGCAGUGCUUGGAAAAUGGUACGGGGGUUUCGGCUCUUCGUGUCCUUCCGUGUGCGUUAACAUGUCUGCGCGACUAUCUAGCGCGGAAAACCAGUGUUUAAAACCAGCAAGCAAUGCGUGGUGCUUUUGUAGCGUCCGCUGCGCUGAGAAGAAAGGAAGUCUGGACCGGAUCAACGUUUCGGAGCUCUCUGCUGGGAAGUAACUACAUUCCAGGGGGGCGACGAGAUUGUGGAUGUUUUGUGCCAAACUGCCAUGAAAAAACUUUUCGGGGCACACGGCGGGAAUAGUCCGGCUGGAGGAGGAGUUCAUUUCAUAUGGACGCAUUCUCUGGUUGGAAUUCUGCGGUGUAAAAGGCGGUGCGUGAAGGGGUGCUGUACACUACAUGCGCAGUGCGUCACUGGCGGACUUUAUUUUUUGGAUCUCAAAUCAGGCAAGACUACCCGCUGAACUUAAGCAUAUGGAUCCCGGGG